rnacentral:rRNA from 1 species
GGCAGUCAGAGGCGAUGAAGGACGUGCUAAUCUGCGUAAAGCGACGGUAAGGUGAUAUGAACCGCUACAGCCGUCGAUGUCCGAAUGGGGAAACCCGGUGCACUCUGUGCAUCAUUGCAGCAUGAAUACAUAGUGCUGCAAGGCGAACCGGGGGAACUGAAACAUCUAAGUACCCUGAGGAAAAGAAAUCAACCGAGAUUCCCUUAGUAGUGGCGAGCGAACGGGGACCAGCCCUUAAGCUGUAUUGAUGUUAGCGGAACGCUCUGGAAAGUGCGGCCAUAGUGGGUGAUAGCCCUGUACGCGAAAACAUCUUUGCAGUGAAAUCGAGUAGGACGGAGCACGAGAAACUUUGUCUGAAUAUGGGGGGACCAUCCUCCAAGGCUAAAUACUACUGACUGACCGAUAGUGAACCAGUACCGUGAGGGAAAGGCGAAAAGAACCCCGGCGAGGGGAGUGAAACAGAACCUGAAACCGUGUACGUACAAGCAGUGGGAGCCUUCUUUAUGGGGGUGACUGCGUACCUUUUGUAUAAUGGGUCAGCGACUUAUAUUCUGUAGCAAGGUUAACCGUAUAGGGGAGCCGCAGGGAAACCGAGUCUUAACUGGGCGUUAAGUUGCAGGGUAUAGACCCGAAACCCGGUGAUCUAUCCAUGGGCAGGUUGAAGGUUGGGUAACACUAACUGGAGGACCGAACC